GCCACGGCCAUGCCACCCUGAACAAGCCCGAUGUCUGAUCUCGGAAGCUAAACAGGAUCAGGUCUGGUUAGUACUUAGAUGGGAGACCACCUAGGAAGACCAGGUGCUAAAGGCA
rnacentral:rRNA from 1 species